ACGAACGCUGGCGGCGUGCUUAACACAUGCAAGUCGAACGAAGAGCGAUGGAAGCUUGCUUCUAUCAAUCUUAGUGGCGAACGGGUGAGUAACGCGUAAUCAACCUGCCCUUCAGAGGGGGACAACAGUUGGAAACGACUGCUAAUACCGCAUACGAUCUAAUCUCGGCAUCGAGGAUAGAUGAAAGGUGGCCUCUACAUGUAAGCUAUCACUGAAGGAGGGGAUUGCGUCUGAUUAGCUAGUUGGAGGGGUAACGGCCCACCAAGGCGAUGAUCUGUAGCGGGUCUGAGAGGAUGAACGGCCACAUUGGGACGGAGACACGGCCCAGACUCCUACGGGAGGCAGCAGUGGGGAAUCUUCCGCAAUGGACGAAAGUCUGACGGAGCAACGCCGCGUGAGUGAUGACGGCCGUCGGGUUGUAAAGCUCUGUUAAUCGGGACGAAAGGCCUUCUUGCGAAUAGUGAGAAGGAUUGACGGUACCGGAAUAGAAAGCCACGGCUAACUACGUG
rnacentral:rRNA from 1 species